rnacentral:misc_RNA from 1 species
CGGCGGCACUCUCAGUUCACAAAUUUCCGAUUGAAAUGGAAGAAGGAGGAAUUCAGUCAAAGUAUGUGAAAUUAACAAAAGAUCAAGCACCACUUGAAGAAGACAUUAAGCCUGGAGAGCUGAAUCAACCGAUUCAUGUCCCUCAGCUAGUCGUUCACAAGUGCAACGAAUGUGGACAAGUUUUACCUGAAAGUUUUGAGCCUCCUGCAGAUGAGCCUUGGACAAGUGGGAUUUUUGGAUGUGCAGAGGACAAAGAUAGCUGCUGGACAGGACUUUUCUGCCCGUGUGUCUUGUUUGGGCGUAAUGUCGAGAGGCUGAGAGAUGAUACUCCUUGGACUACCCCUUGUGUUUGUCAUGCCAUUUUUGUUGAGGGUGGCAUUGCUCUUGCAGCUGCAACAGCUGUAUGUCAUGGUAUUGAUCCAGGUACAUCGUUCCUCAUUGGCGAAGGCUUACUAUUUGGUUGGUGGAUGUGUGGAAUAUAUACGGGUCUUUUCCGGCAGUCGCUGCAGAAGAAGUAUCAUCUCAAG